UUAGAAAACGGAAUACUUUUAUGCAAAAGUUGUACCAACUGCCGAUUGCUUCCUGAGAAGUUUGUCGGUAACUUCCACGAUUCGGAUCUCCAACCAUCGAAAGCAAUAACGAUUUCAUGGGCGCAUCUGGUAGAAGUUCUUCUUUCGAUCCCUGCUGAGGGGGAUAUGAGGAGGAUAUAAUUGAUGCUAUUAAGUCGAAGGACAAUAUGAUGGUACACCCGAUGCUCGAACCGGAACCAAGAAAACAGGCGUCGGUUAACCCCCUGUGUGAACCUGAACCGCGGAAAAUCUCCCGUCACAAAAGCAACUCGCCAGUUCUCCGUUGAACGUCUAGUGCGUACGACACGCCUAGCGCCCCUAGCGCAGAAUCCAGUCGAAACUGUAUCUCUGAUUGCGUCCCAUGAAGUUGAUCAUUACUUGGGAAACACGAAAUUAUUUGGCACAGCAUCAGCAUCAUCCGCCUGUACAUCAUCGACGCAAAUUCACCCGAACUAUACGAUCGAUAGCCGGUCAGCAGCGACACAAGCAAGUAUGCCCAACCAACCUCCUCCGAAUCUUCCACCAACACACCACACGGUGAUACCGGUUCCACCUGCAGUAGAUAUCGCAAAAUCCUCACUCCUGUUGGUAGAUCCUGGAGCUGCUGAGAGGAGCGCCAAAAAGCGGAAUGCUCCAAAUCAAAACGUCCGUAAUAAUUGAUUUUCGUUCCGCUGUAAAAAAAAACCGGAAAGCAGGAAAAGGAAGGUGGGCUGGGCGGUGCCAACCAGUAUACUGUAAAGGGUUUCCAUCUGCAUCGAAGAGAAAGAUACACGACCCAAUGACCGACCCGAUAGAAAUGCAGCCAACUUCUGGAAUGGAAUGAUUACCGAAACGUACUGGAUUUAUUAGCAGAAUUAGCCAUGGAAUCAACAGGAUCCUCCGCUUCCUCCACAACGGUGACGUCAUUCCCAUCAUCCAUUGUGUCUGAACUCUAAACAUAGAGGCAUUCCUGUUACCGAAUUGUGAAUU